UUUUUUUUCCAAAAUGUCUGUGGUAUGUCAUUGAAUGUCAAGUCUCUUUUAGUGUAAAGUGAAAAUUUUACUCUUUCUUUAUUUUUGGCUGACAAUAUCGACGAAAAAAAAUGUUUAUAAAAUAAUGUGCAAUAUAAUUUAAAUUAGAGUGAAAAAGUGUUGGUCAUCUUAACAUGGAUUGCCAUCAAAUAUUGAGUGGCGCUUGUAAUGCUGGCGACAAAUGUUUUGCGAUUGGUUCCGUUGAAGGGGUUCCAUUUACUGCAUACGCAGCUGGAUGUAACAUCGUUAUUUUAGCCAGUACAUUCGAACGGGUUCAAAUAAUCCCAGGAGCCACACAUAAUUACAUUCGUAUAUCGGCAUUGGAUUGCAGCACCGAUACGGGAAAAAUUGCCGCUGCCUAUGAAGAUAAGGUGUGCAUAUUCGAGCCGACACCAUUGAUACAUAGUGAUACAUCACCGUCACACGGUUUAGAGUACAGAUGGGUGCAAACUGGCAGCUUACAAGCGAGUUCGCACAUCAGCUCGCUGUCAUGGAAUUUGGAAGGAACCAGACUGUUGACCGGUGGCGUAAAGAUUCAAAUGUGGCACGAGAAAAUAACAACUAAAGAAGAGGAACCAAAUGUUGUCACAUUCGAAAUUGGUGACCGUGAUCCGCGGACACCGCCCGCUGAAGAAGAAACUGAAAGUGGCUGGGAAUGUGUAUGGAAAUGUCACACUGCCACUCCGGUGCACCAUAUGGCAUUCAGUCCAGAUGGUACACUAUUCGCAACGUCCGGUAAAAGUGAUAGGCUCGUUAAAGUUUGGUAUGAAAACAAGCACUUGCUAUUCCCAGCUAAAAGUCUGGACAGUCAGUUUGCGUCGAUGAGCCAGGUCAACGUUGAAUACAACUACGGCUUUGUUUACAUAGCUCAUCCGCGCGCGAUAACGCAUCUGUCUUGGCGCAAGACCAGCAGAUACAUGCCGAAAGGUUCCGUGUCCAAUAUGCUUGUAACAUCUUGCCUGGACAAUAUAUGUCGAAUUUGGAUUGAAACGGUUUUACCGGACGACGGCUUAGUGAAUAUGAAUCAAUUCGAUCCACUGGCCACACAGAAUCCGAAAUUUCGCACGCACCGUCACAAGCAUCGGUUUAUGCAACGCUUGAAGCAUAUGAAGACCUGUUUUCACAUACGACGACAUGCUAAAAAUUCCGUUGGUGCUGGAAUGCUUGGCUUUGGAGCAGCGUUCGGUGGUCCUGGUGCCGGCACAAACAUUGGACAUUCGCCGAUACCAUCGCUUCCGUCCACGUACAGUGUUCACGAUUUUCAUUCUUAUGGUUAUCACGGCACGGGAGUGACACCAGGAUUGCACUUUCAUUUAGCUGCUUCCAUUAAUGCUGAAACUGACAUUCCAUUAGUUCCAUCAAUGGAAUCUUCAGAUCCAUCGAAUAAACCAAAUUUCAUUCUGCAUUGGUUGAACAACAAGGAAAUGCACUUUACGCUUCAGGCUGAAGCAAUUCUACAAGAACUGGCAAAGAAGGUUAUAGAAAAAGAUCAAAUGGCUGGAAUGUCGAAUGGGCACAGUGAAGCUCAGUCGGAAGCUGCAAAUGAUGUGAUCGAGGACCAUCAUGCCGAUGAACCGAAGAAAAAAUUCGGCAAAGGCCACAAAUCGUAUUCGCAUGACGAGAGUAACAGUGACGAGCAUUUCUCCCAUCAUUCGGUGAAAUCAUCGGGUGUUGGAGCUGGAUCUCAACCUGGUGUGACAAGUCAUCAUUCGAUAUCGAACACAACAUCACUGAAUUCGUUAGCAACCGAUCAUGUUCCGCAACACAAUGUUACCGAUUCGCUAGACAUGAAAAUUGAUUGUCUCCUGCGCGACUGGCACCACAGUCCCGAUUUACUAUUCUCAAUUCAUCCCAUCGAUGGAAGUUAUUUGAUUUGGGUGGUCGAGUGGCUAGACGAAUUUCAUCCAGGCGCAUUUCGUCAAGCCCAAGUAUCCUUUUCCACACGCAUUCCAUCUGGAUUUCCUUUAGGGGAUGCAAUGUCUAUGUCGACAACUGUCAGUUUAUACAACACUGGCGGUAAUUUGCUGCAUUUCAAGGAAAUGGUAAAAGGAGUAAAGCCAACAACGGCUGCAACGAAUGGAAAUCUUGCUCCCCCUGCAGAUGGGGCUGCAGAUAUAACACCACUUCCGAGCGUGCUAGAGGAACAAGAAAACGAAUGGCCCUCGAAGCAGCCGAAUGAGAAUGAGGACGAGACGAACGAGCCAAAAACUGGGGAAAGCCAUACGAAUGUUUCGAACGAAGCCCAAGAGUCUGGUAUUUCGUCGUCUGACAUUGUUACAUCACCACCCUCACCCACUAUAUCGAUGGUGACGAAACACUCGAACGGAACAUUGAAUCUGUGGCAACUGACAUUUGCUGACAAGACAAAAUUCACCCAAGUAUUAAGCAUCGGUCACGUAUCACGUGCAUCGGGUCAUCGAUUCCGCGUCAAUGACAUUACAUGCCAUCCCGUUUUACCGCUACUGUUGACAACAUCACAUCAUAACAUUCCAGAGAUACCAACCACAUCUCCAUCUGUACCUGGCAAAUAUUCACCGGAUUCACAUGCCCGCGGCAAAGAUGUUUGUGUUCCGCUGGGAUUCUGUUCGGAGUUAAUUUUAUGGCGAGUCGAUGCUGUGGGACCAUUAUCGCAGUCGGGCGGUGUUAGUGAAUUAGCUCGAAUCAAUUCGUUGGAAAUAUCCGCUUUCAGCAAUGUUGCAUGGAUACCGACAUUGUUGCCAAGCACUACCCUAGGCAGUUUAAGUAACUCACCGUCGGCCUGUUUCGUUGCCAGUGACGGUGAAUGUCUACGUGUUUAUCAAGCAGUGAUCGACGCUAGAACGUUAUUGGCUGAAAUUUCGAGUUCCGAACGACGAUCAAGAAUUAUGGAUUCGAUGAUCUCACUAUCGACUGCAUGUUCAUCCGAAAAUGGAAUGCAACAGACGUCCGUGCAUAACAAAAUAAAAAUCGUUUCCCAACAGUCGACAGCGAGACCCGGUUGCAUUAUUCAAUUGGAUGGAAUUGCAGAUGCAACCCACGAUUGGCAGAACACACAAUUUUUGCAUGUGUUCCAAGAACAGUUGGUGACUGGUGAACGGAACGAGCUGAAACCGAAUGUGAUGAACGCUACGGUCAAUGACAUUGGCUUCAUGGAAACGCAAAUGGGCGCAAUGGUUGACCUGCAGCAGAAUGCCAUAUUCGAGGAACCAUUUUACAUUGUUUUGAUUGAACGAACACACAACGGCAGUACCAUACACAUGUGGCGGAUUGUCAUUGCUUCUCAGCCUCAAGCAAGUGAUAUGUCGGAAAGUGCAAUGUAUGUUCCGGAUAGUAAUUUAGUGCAAGAUUUGGAUGAUCCGGAACCAGGACCAAGACCGUCAGUAGUUGGACCACCACCAAGCGGUUUUCAGAACGAAAACCAUGCUGAAGCUCCGCAUGUUAAAAUCACUACAACCAAGGUAUGCACCCAAGAAUUGCCAUUACCUGACGGUGUUGAUGUCGUUCAUGCUGCACCAGCUGCUGGCCAUCUGAGCUCAUCAUCGAUAUAUCCAGCAUGCUUUGCCCCAUACAUCAUAGUUACCGCUUGUUCCGAUUCAACAUCCCGUUUCUGGCGUUGCAAAGUGACAAAGAGCACAUCAGCAUCGGACAUGGAAGACGACAUAAAAUACGAAUGGUGUGAAUGGGAUAUGCUGAGCCGUGACCGAGAAUCAACAAUCGAAAUUCGAGGGCAGCCACUUCAUAUAAGUGCCGCAUAUUCCGGUCGCAUUGCCUGUGCAUACAAAUAUGGAAAAUCGUUUACGCGACCACACAAAGGCGAUCCAGAUUCCCGUUAUGUGAAUUUGUGCGUUGCAAUUUACGAAUGCGAAAGCAGUGGUGGUAGUGAAUGGAUAUUAGAGGAUACCAUCCACCUAAGAAACGUCCAUUUGCCACGAAUCAACAUCGAUCCACAUUUGGACUUGAGUGUAUUGCAGCAGGACAAUCGAUUGAUGCUUAAGAAGCAACGUUUAACACAAGUGAUUCAAACGUUCACCCACGAUCAAGAGAAUCGAUCGCCUCGCAAUGGUGACGUGACACCGGACGGUUUAUCUAAGCCGAGUGGAGGACUGUUGGCGGUUCCUAGUUUCAGUACAUUGCAGUCGUUACGUAAGAGUAUUAUCGAGAAUGGCAAUACGUGCCCAUUGACGCAGAAACAUUUGGUUCAACUUGACUGGGUAUCAAAGGAAGACGGAUCUCACAUUUUGACCGUAGCCGUUGGAAGUAAAAUCCUUUUGUACACACCCGUUUCUUCAGAUUUAGCGCAAGCAAACAUCAAGGCCAUGAAAGAAUCCCAAUCCACCAACCGUCCAAUAUUACGAAAGGCAAGCUCCUUGGCACAACCGCAUUUCAACGAUGAAAUUCGUUGGAUGAAACUGCGACAAAUUGAAUUAAGCAGUGCCGACGGCCUGCCACCAUUACCAAUGCAAAUGUCCUGGGUGCGAGACGGUAUUUUGGUUGUGGGCAUGGACAGCGAAAUGCACGUCUAUUCACAAUGGAAAUCCAAUAAAAAUCAACAAUCAAACAUCAGCGUCGAAGAUUUGAUGGACACUCGCAAUCUACGCGACGAGGACCUACGUCACAUGGCCAACGAAAAUAGUCAACGUCGUUUGGCCAACGUUUCGUCCAUGCCACUAAUGUCGCGUGUCAGUUCGAUGAAUUUACAAAUGCUAUCCAGCGAGAAAAAGAAGAAAUUGGGUGGUUCCACUGCAGCCAUUGCACCCACAACGGAGCAGUCGAAUGCACAUGAUUAUAUGACCGAUUUUGGACUGUUCGAAGCGUCCAGGAUUGCGUGUCCGGUACUGCCGCAAUAUCAUCCCAAACAGUUGAUGGAAUUACUGAAUUCCGGUAAAAUACGUUGGGUGAAAGCGAUAUUGGCGCAUUUGGUGAGAUGCAUCAGCGGAACGUAUGCGAUUCGGAAUACUGGUGGCACCGACGAGGAAAGUUUGAGCAGACAGCGAGCUUGGUCCCGAUCUCGAACGUUAUCGGUGAGCCAUGUCGGCGCUAGUAGCCCAUUAGAACAGCGAGGAUCGAUGACACAGAUGCCCGAAGAACUUACAUUGGACUAUGCAGAAAUAACGUCAAUUCCUCCACUGCCGUUAUGGACUCUAUUAGCUGCCGACAAAGAAGUGUCCGGAAAUUCUACGAAGAAAAAAGAGGAAUCGAAGGAUUACAACGAACUAUUUGAUGACAAUCUGGAUGGUGACGAAUCAUUGGAUGAUUUGCUUGAAGACGAAUCGGAGAAGCGUCAACGCUUCGACCGUCGUUCCUCGAUACCGGAACGGCAAUCGUUAUCGCAUUUCGGUCCCCGGCAAGGUCAACUAUUAUCACGUUUGUUGACACAUACACAUCUACCCGGUCUGUCAUCAUUGGAUCAAAUGCAUUUGCUUGCGUUGGCCGAUACAGUUGCCACUUGUAACACAGAUUUUGCUGAGCGUUUCUUGAAUGAUGCGGCAAAGACAGCCAUAGCCAAAGAGAAUUUAACCGGAGUGCCGCAAGACAGCGUUUCGUCGGAUUCGUUGGACGAUUGUGGACUACGCUUUUUGCUGGCUAUGAAACAUUUUACAUACUUACUGCGAUGCUUGCCGCUUGUUCAGCGAACACAGUUCCAAAAGCAAGGCGUCGGUACGUCAAAUGUCGUGUGGGCAUUCCAUUCCGAGUCCGAGGAAGAAAUGCUCAAUUUGAUUCCAUCGUAUGCGAAGAAUCAAGUGAAAUGGUCAACGUUAAAGGAAUUGGGCGUCGGCUGGUGGCUGAGGAAUAAUACUUUGUUGAGACUAUGCGUGGAACGAUUGGCAAAAGCUGCAUAUCAAGCCAAACAGGAUCCCUUAGACGCGGCCAUUUACUACAUUGCAAUGAAGAAGAAAUCGUUAGUUUGGGGCCUGUUUCGAUCGCAUAAAGACGAAAAAAUGACCGAAUUUUUCGCUCACAAUUUCAACGAAGAUCGUUGGAGGAAGGCGGCAUUGAAAAACGCAUUCGCCCUGCUGGGAAAACAAAGAUUUGAGCAUGCUGUUGCAUUUUUCCUGUUGGCGAAUUCAUUGAGCGAUGCGAUUGAAGUGUGCUUGACGAAACUGGACGAUCUGCAAUUGGCUUUGAUAAUCACGCGAUUAUACGAGGGUGAACACGAUGCGACACCGCCAAAUUACAAAAAAUUGUUGUACGAGGAGAUAUUGGGCUGCGAUAAAGAAGGCAACAACCAGGACAUAUCGAUGGCCCAUCCGGAUCCAUUUUUACGAUCAAUGGCAUUGUGGAUUCUGAAAGACUACUCGGGAAGUUUAAAUACACUUCUGCUGAACAACGUCGGCCACAAUCAUCCAGCAUACAUUGAUGACGAUCCUUUGAUGCGAUCAGAAUCGCAGGCGGCCAAUCCGAAUGUUUUCAAUUUCUACAUUUAUCUACGUACGCAUCCGUUGCUGAUUCGACAGUACAUUGCAUCCACAGCGCAAGAGAAGAAGAAAGCGCAAGUUGUUCUAUCCGGUUUCAGUUAUAGCGGAGAUGGACCAGCAUCGAAAAGUGGUGGUGACAAACAGGUUCUGAUAGAAGAUUCGAUUACGCCACUUGAACGACAAUUGUACUUUACAACCGCACAUGGCCAUUUCAAAGCUGGCUGUCCUGCUCUGGCUCUCGAAGUGUUAAGCAAAUUACCGUCAAAGGUGAUCGAACCGGAAACGGGCAGUGCAAUGGCUAGUCCCAAUGAUGAAAAACAUACGGCACAGAUAGACAGCGGCAUAUUGGAUUGGGGACAUUCCGAAAAGCCUAAAGAAACCAAAGCUUCAAAUGGAGACUACGAUUGGAGUGCACCAGAGAAGGCAUCGUCAAUUGACUGGAGUGCGCCACAAAAGGCAGAUUCAUUUGAUUGGGGUGCACCGGUUUCGAAAGCCGAUAAUGAUGAGUUGAAAUUGGAUUGGGAUGAUGACAACAAAUCCGACGAUGAUGAUGACGGAAGCGACACUGGUUUGGGAUUGAAGUUAGACGCGAAGGAGACUAGUGCCGAGCCUAAAUCGAUUGCGAACAGUGAUACAGACAGUACACGCACCGAAUUGGACAUUAUGGCACAGCAACUCAAGUUCGUGGCAUGUCUGAAAAUCUUGAUGGAAGAAUUGUCAACCUUAGCUACCGGUUUUGAAGUCGAUGGAGGGCAGCUGAGGUAUCAGCUGUACGUUUGGUUGGAAAAGGAAGUCGAAGCAUUACGACAGUUAUGUAGCUAUAGCAGCGCUGACGUGGAUAUCACUACAACGGAAGACGUUAAUGAACAGUCACAGGUGGAUCGAGAUACUUCAGCGUCAAAUACGAGACCUGCAAAUGAAAGACCCACACUUCAUGAGAUUCUUAUGCAAGAAAAGCUAGAUUUUGAAGCGAAAGUUCAUCGAGCUGCUAGAAGGAAACGUUGGCUGAAAGCUAAUGAAACACUUCUACGAACAUUGCUGAGCUACUGUUCGUUGCAUGGCGCAAGUGGUGGAGGUUUAGCUUCAGUACGCAUGGAGCUAGUCUUACUACUGCAAGAGUUACAACAAGAAAAGACACAACAACAAUUGCUUAGUCCACUGCCAUUCCCCACAACGUUACCAUUGCUGAGUGCAUGUGUUGCUGGAAAUAAAACGGUCAUUGCUGAUCCGAUCCGAUAUCUUCAGUCUCAUGCACAUGAUAUGCUGCAAACCAUUGUCGAUCUUCGUACGCCGCCAAUCGGUUUCAAUGCUAACGGUUCUUGCGAAAUUUUUGUACUGCGCGAUUUGGCUGUAGCACUGUCUGCAUGUAUCUAUCAAUCGCUGUGUGAUUCGGAUAACUUCAUCGUGAAACAAGCGCCCGACGUGAAUGGUUUUCAGUCGCCUGGAAUGGAAACAUUAGCCCGCUUAAAUGCAAAUUGUCAGAGUUCGCAUUUGAUGGCCAAUGCCGGUAAUCAGAGGAGAAGGAAAUACUCCACUGACGAGCCGGUAACAGUGAGCACAUCACCAUCAAAGUGGCCGGGUGUGACCAAUCUGCGAGCGUUGUUAGCACGUGAAAAAGACGAGGACACACCACGAUUGAAUGUUUUGCUAUGUGAAGCAUUUAUGGCCACAUUUAUGUCUUUGCUAGUCUAUGGCUUGGCCACCUGUGAUUGCCACAUACUCUACCGGUUAGCUGGUCAAAAGUUCUCCAACGCAACGUGGGCCUAUUUGUAUGGUGGUGGCAUUAAGAAACUGUUGCGAAAAGCUACCACACAAAUGCAAUUGAUUCAACAGCAGUCGACUUCGAUGGACGCACAGGCGGAGAACAUUGAUAGUCCAUCAGCUGACAGUAGUGUUUGGACGGCUGUACAGUCAAUAACCAAGCAACGUGUUAAAUUGAAUAUGAAACUGUUGGGUCACUUCAGCGGCUCCACGGGCUCGCCAAACAUGAAAGAAGACAAACCGACCUAUCGCGAACAGUUCGUGUCGCCCGAGAUGUCGAUGGUAUCGUACUUUUUGAUCAAACCGACCCAUUCUUCUGAUCCCGACGAAGAUGACUACGAUUCGGCCGAUUCAGUAGCUUCCGACCUGGAGGAUGAUAACGAUGAAGAGGAUGUAUUUUCAGAUCCGCUGAGUAACGAUCCGAAAGCAAGUCAAGCAUCGGCAAUGUUGAAGAAACAUCGCCGUGAAAAUACGGAACAUUCCAAUCCAAAUUCAUAUUCCUGGAUCAUUAUGCGUCUGGCCAUUAUGAAAUUGGCACAAAGUCAAUUGCAAGAAUUCAUUAACAUUGCCGGCAUUGAAAUGCAAGGUGAAGAAUUGCCCGUAGCUAGUCCUUUAAUUCAUGGUAUUUUGAGAUCGUUGUCGAUUUGGCAAGAUCUCAUCAAAGACGAUCUAGCGAACAGAGGUCCAGCACCAAAUGAUUUUAUUCCAGGAUGUUUCGUGGAAUCCGAAGCCAAAGGUCCAGCGAUUCACAAAUACCGUUCGUUGUUGGAAAAGCACAAUACACCGUUCAGUCCGAUACAGGGAUCGGCAGCACCGGCAAGACGAUUAUGGAACUAUCUGGUACGUCAAGAACUCGUUCAGGAAAUAUUCAUACGAGCUGUGUUCGGCAAGAAACGACAAACAUCCGUUCCGGAAACAAGUUCAGUGACACCGUCGUUGAUUGGCGCUGAUUUGGGAACACCAGGAGCCAGCAGUGAUGUUACACAGCACGCGAACAGUAAUUUACCCGAACCAGUACGAAUCAUUCACAAAGAGCAAGAAUCAAUAUCGGCAUUCUGUUUGAAUUUAACGAAUCCCGGCCUGCUGUCACUGGCCACACCGAGAGAGGUGCAAGAAAUGGACAUAUCGUUGUUGCUGGAAUCACCGAAUUGGCUGGAGGAUGAAUGUGAAUUGGAUAUUAUGAAUUUGAACAAGGACGUCGACACAUUGCCAGCCAGCAGCUUCUUAAUGAUUCAAGCGUCGUCAGAUAAACAUAUAAUCAGUCAAGGAUCUCAUGCUGCACAAAAUUUCGCAACGCCAGCAAGUCCUCAGCCAGGCAUUGCUGGUCAAUCCGGACGAGGAGCGUCUGUGAUUAAAGGAGCCACAUUUCCAGGAAGUCAUGAUCCACGCUUCUGUAAACUGGUUAUAGAUCGUUCAAAGCACACACUGAGACCGGUAUUGAAACACAAAGUCGAUAACAUCAAGCGUAUGUGCGCCCAUCCACUGUUGCCGCUAUACCUAACAGGUAGCCAGGACGGUUCUGUGCAAAUGUGGGAAUGGGGACAUCAACAAGCCGUUUGUACGCCACGGUCGCCGGGAACAUUUGCCAAAGUAACGCGUUGCCGAUUUUCUCAGCAUGGGAAUAAAUUUGGCAUCGCCGAUGGUGAUGGGAACUUGAGUCUGUGGCAAGCUGGUCUCGCCUCGCAAAGUAAUCGAUCGUUUUUCACGUAUCCUUGUCACAACAAAGGCAUCACCGACUUUGUGUUCCUAGGGUCAUGUAGUCUUGUAGCGACUGCUGGCCACAGUUCAGAAAGUAAAAACGUUGCAAUGUGGGACACACUGUUGCCUCAAAAGAAAGCCAUGGUGGCAUCAUUCGCUUGCCACGAUCAAGGUGCCUCUAGUUUAGUAUAUGCACCUCAGCAUCAACUGUUAAUUUCUGCUGGUAAAAAGGGUGACGUGUGCAUAUUCGACGUUCGACAGAGGACCUUACGGCAACGUUUCCAGGCCCAUGAAAGUGCAAUCAAAUGUCUCGCGAUUGACCCGCAUGAAGAACAUUUCGUGACUGGUUCAGCUGACGGUGAUAUAAAAGUAUGGGGUCUAACCGUGCAUACAGCUUUGUACUCAUUUCCCGGCGAGCAUGCACGUAGCAGCUUUUUCAAACAUAUUGGACAGGGAGUUACCCAACUUCAAGUCGACACAAAUGGCCGUCUAUUCUCGUGCGGUGCUGACGGUUCGAUGAAAGUAAGACAAUUACCGGAUCGGGAAUCAAUCAUUCAUUCACUAUACUAAUUUGGACGAUGGUUAACAGAAUUUAACUUAUUGAUUUACAUGAAAGGUAAACAGUUGAUUCCUUUUUUUAUUUGUAAAAACAAAAGUUUUUCUCUUCCUUUCUGUGUGUUUGAGGGAAGGAAAGAAGAAUUUUACCAAAAAAAGAAGAGAAAAGUGAAAAGAAGGGAGUAAAACAAAAAUAAAUUAGACUCUAGAACCAAUCAUACUUUGUAAUGCGCUUCAGACAAUACAUCGAUGUUUAAAAAAAAAGAAAAAAGAAAUAUUUAAAAAAACUAAAGAAAUAUUUAAAAAGAAAAUUAAAACCUAAAACAAACCAUUUAAGUAUUAAGUAUUAGUGUUGGAUAUAAACAUAAUUAUAUAAAAUAUACAUGAGAAAAACAAAGAAACAAGAAAAAAAACAAGAAAAUAUUUAAAAUAAAUUAUUAUUAAAAAUAAAAACUAUUGAACUUAUGAUAGCGUUAAAAGAAUCAAUUGGAUUUAAUAUUUCGAAAAAUAUUCAUCCCUAAAACAGAACGACGUUUGAGAAAGUGGCAAGGUGAUAAGUGCAAAAAAGUUGCGACCUAUGACUUCGUUGGUGUCUUUUUUCUGUUGCCUCUUAUGACUUGACUCUAAGUCAAUCUAAUCAUUAAAAGUAUUCAUUGGACGGGCUGGCUCAGUCAUCACGUACUGGCCAUCUACCAAAAUGAUUUUCCAUUCUUGUGACAAAAUUCCAAAUGGAAUGCUAGCCAGUAAAUCGCAUUGGUAACGUCCUACAUUCUAAUCAAACUUCAUAAUUUGGGUUGUUGCGGUGUAUCCCUCGGUGUAUCCACGUACCCAGUGGUUGCCACCUGACUUGUACGACAAGACCCAAGUAUAAGAAUGAGAAGCCUAAAUUUAGGCUAGAUAUCAGUUUACGCGCCUAGCCUUCCUCAGAAAGUAUUUCUAUAAUUCGGUACGUGGUUUUAAGGUCAGCCAGUGGUCCAGACUCAACUCGUUAUACUGGACGCAAUGGGCUGUUUCGAAGUGAGGUCUCGAGCAAAAAAAAUCAUUAAAUGGCUUGAAAGUGGUGGCUCAGCUUUUAGCGACUUUCCGGGAAUCCUUUCCGCUCUAAUUUAAAACUUCCUUCCAUCUUCCACUUAUGCAUAAUUUUCGAAUGGAAUGGUCACCAAUACGAUAAGUAAUAUUACCGAAGCUAUUUUGCUGGGAUUUCUAAUUUUAUAACCCGGCCGACUUGGUGUCAGGUCUGAAAAGAUUGCAACACAUCCGUUUCUACACUUGAUUGUUGAUACUGAAAGGACAAAACCAAAAACUGACACUAGAAAGUUGGACGGAAGCCACAUGAUCGCCUAAUUUUUGGCUAUUUUUUGAAUCAUCAAAACUUCCUAUAAAAUGGUCUUGAAGUACGGAUAAAAUACCACAGAAGAAUUGCAACCGAGCGAAAGGAUUUUCCUGAAUUUUCAACACAUUUUUCAUUUACUAGAAAAAUUAAACGAAUUGACCUAACUAUGCAAUGUAAGUGCAUAAAAAAAUGGGAUGAAAUUGAAGGAAAUAAAUGUAAACGUCAGUGGGAGUUUUCGGGAUAUUAGAAUGAAUAUUUACUUUAACAGAGAAGCGUGAGAAAUUUGGUUUACCGACUGGCUACAAAUACUCAAUGUCAUUGCGUUGUUGGUUAUUGGCACACAUCUUUGCAUAUAACAUCAUAGACAUGAUAAGUUAACCUUUUAAGAAACUAUUUUCUUUUAUGGACGGGAAGCAAACAAGGUACAUGAAAUUAGCAAAAUUUGCUCGUCAAGGAAUAAAUAGAUUCCUUCCUUAAAUAAGUAGGUUUAAAACGUGAACUAUGACACGUAUUGUAAUAUGGCAAUGGCAAGGAUGUUAACAAGGAUGUAAAAGGUUAACAAGUUAGCGAGUCUUACCGUUCGCUACACCGAAUUUAGUAAUACGCAAUGAUGAUCAAGUGGUGAUUCAGGUUUUCCCCUAAAGACAAUAAAUUUUGUAGAGAAAUUAUUAGUCGAUUUGGUUAUAAUUGAAAUGGCUAGACCGGUGCAAUUUGAAGACAUUGUGUUGAUGAAAAAGAUGAGUACAUCCUAAUCCCGCUAAAUCUCAACAUAUUGACUCAUUGUAUAGCAAGUACCAAGCAACACAUAAAUUGUGUUAAAUAAAGGCCUUUUUUGUUGAAAACGAAUAAUUCGUGAGAUAAUGGUUUUUGCAUCAGAACUAAUGAAAAUAAACUGCACAGAUAUGGUCUAAUGUCAACUUCGAGGACAGAACGAUUUUUAAAACGGAUUCUAAAAAACACACCGAUUUUUACAUUAUUUUGACAAAAACAAUAAUUUGACAUAAUUUUUGUGUUGCGUCGGUCAAACAUUCUUCUACAGUUAUAACCGAAUAACUGCCUAAGUUUGCUUCAGCUGUCUAACCAGCUGGUGCACCCAUUCAUUCUAACUCCACACUGCUAUAUGGGUAUACUAUUACGAGUGACUAUGGUAUCACAUAUGCUCAGGGUAUUUAUUUGUAUGAGUGGGCCAGCUGGUAUAACAGCUGAAGCAAAUCGAAACACAAAUUUGGUUGACAUUAACUGUAUUUCGUUAAAAAAAAACAUUAUCCAAAGAUUGGUGGCUGCUGAAUUAAUUUAUUUGAGUCCAUAACCGUUUACGUGAAGAAGAAAAAAAUAACUAACCUUAAUGCAACAAAUUUAAAUCGUAGAUAAGGCAAACCAUGUGUAUAGAUAGCGCUUAUUUCCAAAGUUGUAUUGUAAAAAAAAAGAAACAAAAAUUGACAAGUUUGUGAAAGUUAAAAUUUUAACAUAAAAGUUACGGUCAUUUCAUCUCAACAUUUUUAAGUCUUUAAACGAAAAAAAUUAAAUUAAAAAUUUGUAAGCGAAAAUCUUUGACAAAAUUCAUCACAAAACCAAUCCCAUUCUUUAAAAUAAUUUAUUUUGUUAGCAAAUACAUGCAACCGAGUCAACAGUAUUUUGUCUCCUUCAUUAAUCUAAAAUCAAAUCUAUUUACACUUAACAGAAUAAGAUAUUUCUUUUCUCAUUUAUGUUCAUCAGUUCAUCAGUUAUAUGAGUAUUGAUAAGCCAUUUAAAACGUGUAAUGUGAUUGCCUCGGUGAUUGCGGAAACGAUUUACAAAUUUGUGUUUAAAAAAA